AUGAACCCCAAGUGGUGUGAGUGGACUAUGCUUGAUCAGAUCACAUCCACCCUAGGGGUGCUGCUGGAUGUUGACUGGCAGCACAACUUCAAAUCCUUCUAUGAAACUGUUAGGGUGAAGAUCUCCUGCAAGGACCCCACAAAAAUCCCCACAGAAAGACUCUUUGGGAUCAAAGGCAAGAUCUACAGGCUGCUGAUUGAGAUUGAGCCAGCCUUGCCAUAUGCAGAGACAGUGAUAGUAACCAACCCCUCUUUAGACCAAUGUUGGGGAUAUCGCUUAUCAGGAACUUAUCGUUCGACCCAUGAUAAGGGGUAA
rnacentral:rRNA from 1 species